UACGUAGGGACCGAGCGUUGUCCGGAAUCAUUGGGCGUAAAGAGCGUGUAGGCGGCCUUUUAAGUCCUGCGUGAAAUCCUGCGGCUCAACCGCAGACGGUCGUGGGAAACUGGAAGGCUAGAGUGCGGGAGAGGAGAGUGGAAUUCCCGGCGUAGCGGUGAAAUGCGCAGAUAUCGGGAGGAACACCGGUGGCGAAGGCGGUUCUCUGGGCCCGUACUGACGCUGAGGAGCGAAAGCGUGGGGAGCAAACAGG
rnacentral:rRNA from 1 species